rnacentral:rRNA from 1 species
GAGUUUGAUCCUGGCUCAGAUUGAACGCUGGCGGCAUGCCUUACACAUGCAAGUCGAACGGUAACAGGUCUUCGGAUGCUGACGAGUGGCGAACGGGUGAGUAAUACAUCGGAACGUGCCCGAUCGUGGGGGAUAACUACUCGAAAGAGUGGCUAAUACCGCAUACGAUCUACGGAUGAAAGCAGGGGACCCGCAAGGGCCUUGCGCGGACGGAGCGGCCGAUGGCAGAUUAGGUAGUUGGUGGGAUAAAAGCUUACCAAGCCGACGAUCUGUAGCUGGUCUGAGAGGACGACCAGCCACACUGGGACUGAGACACGGCCCAGACUCCUACGGGAGGCAGCAGUGGGGAAUUUUGGACAAUGGGGGAAACCCUGAUCCAGCAAUGCCGCGUGCAGGAUGAAGGCCUUCGGGUUGUAAACUGCUUUUGUACGGAACGAAAAGGUCUUUUCUAAUAAAGAAGGCCCAUGACGGUACCGUAAGAAUAAGCACCGGCUAACUACGUGCCAGCAGCCGCGGUAAU